rnacentral:ncRNA from 1 species
AUACGAUAAAUGCAAACCCUGGGUGAUCAGGGGACGAAAAGAAAAGGGUCUUUAACAAACACGGAUUGUAUGUAGAGACGCUCCCGAUGGGACGUCUCAUCCCAAAGACAGCCUUACAAAAGACAGCCUUAUUGCCGAA